AUUACUUCAUCAAUCGUCUCAAAGCUCCUUCUUAUUUUUUUGAUGACACAAAGCUCCUUCUUAUUAAUCCCCGGAAUCAAAUCACUUCUCAGCUUUCAUCGCGUGUAGGAAUAGGAGACCCGUUAUUGAGUGAAGGAGAAGAGGAUGACUUUGUGUCCGGGUUUGUUUUGGCUUCCUGCAAGUGCAAUGGCAAUUUUUUAUAUCUACGAACUUGAGUGGUUCUUUGCAAUUAAACAUUGUGAUCGUCUUAUGUUUAUCUGGUUGGAGAACCAAACUGGGAGCAAUGUAGAAGACUGACAAGGGCUGCUGCUAUGAAUACAAGCACACCCGACACAGCAAGGAAAUUGAAGCAAAUGAGAAGCAUAGAUAUCAACUCCAACAUAUGAUUGAGGAGGCCAUUAGUAACAGUGGCAAUAAAACUUGCGCAUUCUUAGCCAACCCAGGCUAUUGGGAAUGGCUAAUGCUGAGCUUCAAUUUGGAAUGGCAAUGAGGGAGAAAGUCAUUAACACCAACAGAAAGCACUAAGAAACAUGUGGGACUUGCUUAUGAUUAUUUACUUAGUAUAGUUGUACAAUUAUGCACCCUUGCGAACUUAUCUGCCUGUAGAAAAACCAGAGAAGUUGUGUAGGUGAAAGUGCGAGGAUUUGUUGUUAGAUUAAACAAACAUAUAUAGUUGAGCUAGAAAGGAGGUAGCUUCCUCAGUUUAUCUGCAAGGUAUAUGAUUGAUUAGGCACUGAUCUCUUUUUAUUCAAGUUGAUUUGAAAGUGUGAACGAAUCCAUAUUGGUAAUAUAAUUAGGUAAUGAAUGCCUUGCUGGAUCAAAAAGUUUUUAAGCUUAGGUAGAAACCAACUUUCUGUUCAUUUGUGUAACAUUGGAUCAAAAAAAUUUUAAGCUACUUUAUCUAUUAUCUGUUCAUUUAUGUAACAUGGUUGCAAGUUUCUGUCCAAGUGUUAAAUUGUUGCUACUUUGCAUUUCUUUUCUUUUGUGUAUGUACCAAGUGUUCUGAAUAUAUGGACCAGAACUUUCUGUUUAUGUCAAACUAUUACUCUAUUACAUAUAAAGUUCAUGGAAAAACCAAAAAAACAAACAAACCCGCAGCAGCGCUAUGGCGCUCUUUCCAGUUAUAUUCUCUCUUCUAAAUGUGAGUGGGUUUUUGUCCCUACUAUCUACUCCGUUGUCCUUAUCGCACCGCUAGCUGGUUUCCUUACACGUAAUGCAAUCGCUUCUAGAAAGAUUCUGAUCUGAUUGGGAUCGAGUUCGUCAUCAAAGCCCAGAACUUGGAGAGAAAGAAGGGAUGAACUCGGUGGGUUCCGGCUGGAGGACACAUCAUUGCGGAUGCUCUGCCUGCUCAGAUGCCAGAUAUCUACAUGGAAGACCUUUGCAAAUAUCAAGGAUGAAGAAAUUGGUGAUUGGCAUCAGCAUAGAGGAAUAGAUUUCAAAAUGCCUCUUCUGGGCUACCUGCAAGAAGAUGGCAAUGUUGGAGCAAAAAAGGGAUUGGGAUAUUGUCAGAACAGCUGAGGAGCACCCUGAGAUUCUAUAACUGAAAGUGAACUUUGAUGAGAAUAAGCCAAUGUGCAAAGCGUAUGAACGUGAAGUGCAUAUUCAAUUUUCAAUGAAGAUUUUAGAGAGCUUGCAGGGACCCUUAAUGCAGAACAUCUUGAUGGGGAUAUACGAACAAAUUGGGAAAAGGCUCAGCUGCUUUAGCUGAUUUGGGUGAGGCUGAAAAGAAAGAACAUGUUGAUGAUUUGAAGUUCAAGGAUUUGGCUGCCAAAAUUGCAGCUUUAGUCAUUUCACCGUGCAUCUGUUAAAGCAUCGUUCAUUUAUUUUUGCUCUUCUUAUUAGAUCUUAUUUGAGGAGAUGAAGUCUUGGUUUCAGACUUGGCAUUUCAUUGAUUUGUUUGCGGAAUCCCAGCAAGCACAAGAUUUUUGUCUCUCUCA